AAAUCCUACGGGAGGCAGCAGGAGGGAAUAUUGCUCAAUGGGGGAAACCCUGAAGCAGCAACGCCGCGUGGAGGAUGAAGGUUUUCGGAUUGUAAACUCCUUUUGUUAGAGACGAUAAUGACGGUAUCUAACGAAUAAGCACCGGCUAACUCCGUGCCAGCAGCCGCGGUAAUACGGAGGGUGCAAGCGUUACUCGGAAUCACUGUGCGUAAAGAGCGAGUAGGCGGGAUAGCAAGUCAGAUGUGAAAUCCUAUGGCUUAACCAUAGAACUGCAUUUAAAACUGUUAUUCUAGAGUAUGGGAGAG
rnacentral:rRNA from 1 species